GAUGAACGCUGACAGAAUGCUUAUCACAUGCAAGUCUUUGGCGAAUCUGUGCUUGCACAGGCUAGCCAAGGCGGACGGGUGAGUAACGCGUAAAGAACUUGCCCUGCAGACAGGGAUAACAGACGGAAACGACUGAUAACACCUGAUACAGUUGCCGGCACGCAUGUGCCUGGCAAUGAAAAGAGAUGCUGCAGGAGAGCUUUGCGUCCUAUUAGCUUGUUGGUGAGGUGACGGCUCACCAAGGCGAUGAUAGGUAGCCGGCCUGAGAGGGUGAACGGCCACAAGGGGACUGAGAUACGGCCCUUACUCCUACGGGAGGCAGCAGUGGGGAAUAUUGGACAAUGGGGGCAACCCUGAUCCAGCAAUUCUGUGUGCACGAAGAAGGUUUUCGGAUUGUAAAGUGCUUUCAGCAGGGAAGAAGAAAGUGACGGUACCUGCAGAAGAAGCGACGGCUAAAUACGUG
rnacentral:rRNA from 1 species